CAGUUGAAGCCUGUACCGCAGCCCGAGGUGGCCGGCGAGGGCGAAACACAUUAAAUGGAGAUUUAGAAUAAUUACCGGGCGUAAAUUUGUCGUUACUUCGUUAAUUAAGGCAUAAAAAAUAUAUAGAACUAGUGCGUGGAAGCCGCUAGGGAGCACGGUGUCACCUUAAAGCACAAACAAAGCCAGGGAGAAGCGAGAAAUAAAAAGCAGGCUAAGGCCAGGGUGGCCUCUUCUGCAUACCAAUGGUUUUUGUCAUUUAUGGCUAUACAAGAUUUAUGACUUCAUGCACCCGAGCUGUAAACAGAGCGCUGCUACAGAAAACACUUGCUCCGUGUGGCACAACCGAUGGCACCACAUGAAAGGGGAAGCCGGGCAGCGUAGGAGGGGAGAAGAGGCAGAAAUUCCCUCGUAGGCAUUUUGCUCCCAGCCACCCCUCCGAGGGUGCGGGGGAAGAAAAGCCUCUCUAGUCAAUAAUCAACCCCGCACUUUCUUCGGAAACUGCUGAUUUGACUUUCUCCCCGCGGCCGCCUCAAAUAGCAAGAGGCAACCCCAGAGCCCCCCUGGAGCAAGCGGGAGGACUGGGGAGAUGGCUCCUUACACAUCUGCAAAGGGAAUCGGUGAAGGAACAAGGUUUCUAAGCGCAAUCCUCUGAUUUUGAAAGCCUCCACCAAACCCAUUAAAGAAGAGUUUUAAGAGAAAAAUAUAUAUAUCAGGCGAUGGAGAUGAUUGCAUUUGUUUUUUCCCACACUAAUAUUUCUUUACACAAAAUCACAGGCAAGGGUGUGCGUUAGAAGAACGGAAAGAAAGUCUUUCAAACUUUACAGGGUCUUGGAUCGCAGCUGAAAAUGAUUCCCUUUCAUCGGUUCUGGAAUUCAUUGUCUUUGGUCAAGUAUCAUGAUUACGAGUUUUCAAACAGAAAUUCAAAGGGAUUUGAAAGCAUCACCAGCCAAUAGAAUACAACGUUCCUGGAGAUUCAACAUUAUGUUUUACUAGCUCUACCAGCUGCAGACCUGAAAACUUUCCUUUUUUUAUUUUUUUAAAAGCUGAAAAUAUGCAGUUUCUCGGAAGGUUGAUACUCUCUUUUUUCACGUGGCUUUAAACUGAAACUCCAAGCAGCGAUAACUGCAAAAGCGAAGUUUUAAUCUGUGUGAAUGAAGUGAGCCUCUUCGUGAUAGAUUUGAUUUCAAAUAUUAGCAUUAGAGAACUGUGGCGCAUUGCAAUCCUGGAACCAAUUCGUGCUGGCCUCACACCCUUGAGAAUCAUUGAUUCGAAUUUAGUAUAUGCUGGUGUGAGCGUGGAGAAAAAACACUGGCCCUCAAUUCUCCUCUAGGAGGAAUACAGCGAUGGAGGGAGGACCCGCUGACAAGUUUUAGUUGCAAUGGGCCUAGCCAGUUCUUGAGAAAGUUUUAUGAAUAUCCUUAUGAAUUAAAAUGUUAGACAAAUCA